UACGGAGGGAGCUAGCGUUAUUCGGAAUUACUGGGCGUAAAGCGCACGUAGGCGGCUUUGUAAGUUAGAGGUGAAAGCCUGGAGCUCAACUCCAGAAUUGCCUUUAAGACUGCAUCGCUUGAAUCUAGGAGAGGUGAGUGGAAUUCCGAGUGUAGAGGUGAAAUUCGUAGAUAUUCGGAAGAACACCAGUGGCGAAGGCGGCUCACUGGACUGGUAUUGACGCUGAGGUGCGAAAGCGUGGGGAGCAAACAGG
rnacentral:rRNA from 1 species